UGGGGAAUUUUGGACAAUGGGGGCAACCCUGAUCCAGCCAUGCCGCGUGAGUGAAGAAGGCCUUCGGGUUGUAAAGCUCUUUCGGCGGGGACGAAACGGUCCGUGACAACACCACGGACUAAUGACAGUACUCGCAGAAGAAGCACCGGCUAACUACGUGCCAGCAGCCGCGGUAAUACGUAGGGUGCAGGCGUUAAUCGGAAUUACUGGGCGUAAAGCGUGCGCAGGCGGCUCCUUAAGUCAGAUGUGAAAUCCCCGGGCUCAACCUGGGAACUGCGUUUGUGACUGUGUUGCUAGAGUGUAGCAGAGGGGGGUGGAAUUCCACGUGUAGCAGUGAAAUGCGUAGAGAUGUGGAGGAACACCGAUGGCGAAGGCAGCCCCCUGGGUUAACACUGACGCUCAUGCACGAAAGCGUGGGGAGCAAACAGGAUUAGAUACCCCUGUAGUCCCUGAGCGGGCUGGCAAGGCGCAU
rnacentral:rRNA from 1 species